rnacentral:rRNA from 1 species
GGGUUGUGAGGUUAAGCGACUAAGCGUACACGGUGGAUGCCCUGGCAGUCAGAGGCGAUGAAGGACGUGCUAAUCUGCGAUAAGCGUCGGUAAGGUGAUAUGAACCGUUAUAACCGGCGAUUUCCGAAUGGGGAAACCCAGUGUGUUUCGACACACUAUCAUUAACUGAAUCCAUAGGUUAAUGAGGCGAACCGGGGGAACUGAAACAUCUAAGUACCCCGAGGAAAAGAAAUCAACCGAGAUUCCCCCAGUAGCGGCGAGCGAACGGGGAGGAGCCCAGAGCCUGAAUCAGUGUGUGUGUUAGUGGAAGCGUCUGG